GAGAUCGCUGGCGGCGGGCUUAACACAUGCAAGUCGAAGAAGAGCGAUGGAAGCUUGCUUUAUCAAUCUUAGUGGCGAACGGGUGAGUAACGCGUAAUCAACCUGCCCUUCAGAGGGGGACAACAGUUGGAAACGACUGCUAAUACCCAUACGAUCUAAUCUCGGCAUCGAGGAUAGAUGAAAGGUGGCCUCUACAUGUAAGCUAUCACUGAAGGAGGGGAUUGCGUCUGAUUAGCUAGUUGGAGGGGUAACGGCCCACCAAGGCGAUGAUCAGUAGCCGGUCUGAGAGGAUGAACGGCCACAUUGGGACUGAGACACGGCCCAGACUCCUACGGGAGGCAGCAGUGGGGAAUCUUCCGCAAUGGACGAAAGUCUGACGGAGCAACGCCGCGUGAGUGAUGACGGCCUUCGGGUUGUAAAGCUCU
rnacentral:rRNA from 1 species